CAAAUGUGUUUUGUGUGAUCGCUCUGAAUUGGCCUUCUCCACUUGUCGACGGUUCCUAUUAGUCUGAAAGUGCAAGAGACAAAUCGGGCUUAGAAUGAUUCCGUUCUUCGUGCUCUAAUUCAACGUACGUGAUCGAUCCACCUUGGAUUUCCAUUAUUCUCUCGGCAUAAUAAUUACUUUCCAUUACUGUUUCUCAUUAUUUCCUCGAUGAAAAGACCAGCCGUUUCGAAUUGUUUGUCAUCAAUGGGAUUAAAGGCUCAGUAAUUUCUCGGCAUAGAAUUGAAGCCGUUUCUUUUUAUUUGCAAUUAGUGGAAUGGAAUAUUAUAUUGGUGAUUGAAGCAGCAACAAUCUAGAUCUUUCCAGGAAAAAUUGGUGAAAAUUGGUGAGGAUUGUAGAAAAUUAUUUUGUUGUUUCACAACACAGAUUCUUAUGCGGUUAAUCAUAGCAAUAGCAAGAUUUAUAAGAUUACCAAGAUGUCAGUGGUAAAUGAGUGACGCAUCUGGAUGGCAUGGCACCACUAACAUGGAUAUGAUAUUGAUGGUGAUAGGCAGACAUGAUUUAAGAGGAUGGACCGGAUUAGAUAUGGACACCCAAGAAUUUUGUAGUGGUGGAGAUCAAGCAUUAAGAGGUAAAUAUGGAUAUGCUGAUUUCGACAAUUUUGGCAGACAAUAUUGUAUAAGAAAUUGCUUUGGUAGCUCGGAAAGAGGCUAGAAGGUUAAGAUGGAAAGUGUUGUCUGACUGAAUACUUUCUCUUCGUUUUACAAGGUGACCCCUUUAUCAUUUGUGUUUAGAGAAUUACAUUAUUGUCUCUUAAUAUGGGGUUUAAAUUUUAUGUUGUGUUAACUUAAUAUGGGGCUUUCUAUUCUACCUCGGAAUGGCAAGUAUUUAGUGGUUCUAUCUCCAUGAACUUCAGUCUCCCGAGCAAGUUUUGAACUCUGUUGUUCUAGGUAAUGGUGGCUUUCAAUUGGUCACCCUCGAGAAUCUUGAUGCCAUUUUAAUCUUAAGAAGAUAAGUUAGUAAUUUUUGUAAACACUAAUGCUGAUUACCCUCAAGUAGUAUAGGUCUUGCUACGUGGUUCACUGAAACGUAUUGUAGAAUUUAGAAGAUAGCCUUUCAAAUACUUCCACUUUAAAGAGUUCUUUGAUUGGCGUUGAAGCUCCUAUCAAAUAUAAGACUAUAAGUUGCAUCUAUUUCAAUUAAAAUUUGUCUUAUGCUCAUAAGUAAUCUGUUUUAAGUUUUUAUUCAGAAUCUGAGAGUGUUAUGCAUUAAAAUAGAUAUACUUGCAUUUAUUCUUUCUAUCAAGCUGACAGAAUUACAAGUUGAAAGACAAACAAAGCAAAUUUUCAGACAAUUUUCUCAAUCAAAGAAAAUUUUUGAGGUACAAAUUUCUCAUUCGUGGGACUGGGGAAUCUGCAUUCCAUGUUUAAGAUAAGUACACAUAUCAGUACAAAGUUAAAUUAAAAAGAAAUAGAUAUAUGCAAAGUUAAAAAUCAAUUAUUAAUUCAUGUGUUCAUGGAGACCUGAUUGGAGGGUAUCUAUGCUGGAGAAUGAAAUCAAUAGAAAGAAGAACGAUUGCUAAUGCAAGAUCAGAGAAAUAAACAUAAAAAAUGAGAGAUAAAAUGAAAACAAAACAGAUUUAAUCUUAUUUUUUGUUGUCAGUUGUGACAAGUGAACAGUAAAUACUUUGGGAAAUAUUUCUAAGGAUAUCUGUUUGGGAGGUUGCGUCAAACCAGCUAACGGAUGACCUCUUAAAACACGGAAAUAAUUUUGUACCCAUAGUUGCAAAAAUGGUGGUAUACCUGCAAAGUGGAGGUUGAGAAACCCAUGACAGGGUUAGACAGAUAACCAAGGGAAUUAAUAUAGGUUGAGAAACCUAUAUUAGUGAAACAUGUUUUGCAGGUACAUGGCUCGACUACAAUGGAAAGGCUGUUUUUGUUGCAUAUGAGUCACGAAUAUGGAAAAUUUGAAGGAGGUGACAGAGGAGCAACAGAAGUGUCGUAUGAGGUGUAUGCUGAUGAUGUUGAGGAGCUAAUAUAUGGUGGGGCUCUUGGCUGCGAAAAACAUCACGGGGUUAAUUUUCCAUCAGUGAGACAACUUUCUUCACUCAUCCAUAUAGAGCAAUAUUUUCACCAGGAGUUGUUUAUAGCAUCACCAUGAGUUGUUUAUAGCAUUCUAUGUAUGUCACUAUUUGACCCUAACAGGAAGAGCUAAAAGUCAUACAUAAACUGAAUGAUACCCUAAUCCCAACUUUUGGAUUGUGGAGUAGCAUAAGCUAUUUAUAACUAGACUAGAUGGGAUUUAAGAAAGAGUGCAAGAAGCACUUAGAUCAAGUACACUAGAUUAAUAUGAAUUUCAUUAGAUUAGUACUUUUAUUUUUUGUAAGUCGAAGGAGGACACAUUACUGUAUUUAUUUAUUGUUUUUUAGGACUUAUCUCAUACCAGGUGCAUGUUCUUGCCUUUGAGGUUCUGCCCAUAGUCAUGCUUUGUGUGUACUUUUGUUGUUCCAAAGUUGGAUAAUGUACGAGGAUACCUACUUAUCUACAAGACGAAGUUACCCGAAGACUCGGAGGCCUUGAAAUAUUUUUUUCGUCCUCAAUCAUUCAGAAAAAUGAAAGAUGGGCUGUUUGUAUUUUCCAAAGUUGUCUACACAACAACUUACUUGGUAAGACAGGCAAAAGUACAUGAACCGGAGCGCAACAACUUACUUGGUAAGGAAGGCAAAAAUAGAGCUGCCAUGAUGACUCAAAUGGAUCAGUGUAUAUCUGUUCAGAUACAAGUGUAUCCAGUUUGGUAUUUUGAUGAAUAGGUUCUUUGAUUUUGUUGUUCAGAGUUAUCUUUUACAAAUAAUAUGAUGUAAUUUUUCUUCUGAGCAAUUCUUUGAUUUAUUGGUUUUUUUUUUGAA